rnacentral:rRNA from 1 species
UACGUAGGGGGCGAGCGUUGUCCGGAGUUACUGGGCGUAAAGCGCACGCAGGCGGUCUGCUAAGUUUGGAGUGACAGUUGGUGGCUUAACUGCCAAAGUGCUUCGAAAACUGACAGACUUGAGGGCUUCAGAGGGACACGGAAUUCCGGGUGGAGUGGUGAAAUGCGUAGAGAUCCGGAGGAACACCGGUGGUGUAGACGGCUAUCUGGACCGUAACUGACGCUGAGACACGAAAGCGUGGGUAGCAAACAGG